rfam:Triticum aestivum genome assembly, contig: Triticum_aestivum_CS42_TGACv1_scaffold_500531_6BL
AAAGUACUCCCUCCGUCCCAAAAUUCUUGUCUUAGAUUUGUCUAGAUACGGAUGUAGUAUUAGAGACAUCCGUAUCUAGACAAAUCUAAGACAAGAAAUUUGGGACAGAGGGAGUAGUUG